UAGUCCACGCCGUAAACGAUGAGAACUAACUAUUGGGGGUAUUGACUCCCUCAGUGGUACAGCUAACGCGUUAAGUUCUCCGCCUGGGGAGUACGGUCGCAAGACUAAAACUCAAAGGAAUUGACGGGGGCCCGCACAAGCGGUGGAUUAUGUGGUUUAAUUCGAAGCAACGCGCAAAACCUUACCUGGGCUUGAAAUCCUGAGAAUCCGCUAGAGAUAGUGGAGUGCCCUUCGGGGAAUUCAGUGACAGGCGCUGCAUGGCUGUCGUCAGCUCGUGUUGUGAAAUGUUGGGUUAAGUCUCGCAACGAGCGCAACCCCUAUCUUUAGUUGCCAGCAUUAAGUUGGGCACUCUAGAGAGACUGCCUGGGUUAACCAGGGAGGAAGGUGGGGAUGACGUCAAGUCCUCAUGGGCCCUUAUGUCCAGGGGCUACACACGUAAUACAAUGGGUCAACACAAAC
rnacentral:rRNA from 1 species